rnacentral:tRNA from 1 species
UAGCUCAGUCAGUUGAGCAUGGCGCUAAGAAUGUCAAGGUCAUGGGUUCGAUUCCCAU